UACGUAGGUGGCAAGCGUUGUUCGGAAUUACUGGGCGUAAAGGGCGCGUAGGCGGCCUGCUAAGUCGAACGUGAAAUCCCCGGGCUCAACCCGGGAACUGCGUCCGAUACUGGGUGGCUUGAAUUCGGGAGAGGGAUGCGGAAUUCCAGGUGUAGCGGUGAAAUGCGUAGAUAUCUGGAGGAACACCGGUGGCGAGGCGGCGAUCCUGGACCGAGAUUGACGCUGAGGCGCGAAAGCCAGGGGAGCAAAGCGGG
rnacentral:rRNA from 1 species